GCCCUUGUAGCACAGUGGUAGAGCAUCUCCUUGGUAAGGAGAAGGUCAUGAGUUCAAUUCUCAUCAAGGGCU
rnacentral:tRNA from 2 species